rnacentral:rRNA from 1 species
UUUUUUUCAUAUCAAAUAAGCGGAGGAAAAGAAACCAACAGGGAUUGCCUUAGUAACGGCGAGUGAAGCGGCAAAAGCUCAAAUUUGAAAUCGGCUAACAAGUCGAGUUGUAAUUUGAAGAUUUUAUCCUGAGAAAUUAACUUAAGUCUGUUGGAAAACAGCGCCAUUGAGGGUGACAGCCCCGUUUGUUUCUUCUCACUGUAGGAUAAUUUCGAAGAGUCGAGUUGUUUGGGAAUGCAGCUCUAAGUGGGAGGUAAAUUCCUUCUAAAGCUAAAUAUUGGCGAGAGACCGAUAGCGAACAAGUACUGUGAAGGAAAGAUGAAAAGCACUUUGAAAAGAGAGUGAAAAAGUACGUGAAAUUGUUAAAAGGGAAGGGUACUGUAUUAGACAUGGUCUUUGUUGCUCAAUUCUAUUUCGGUAGGAUGUAUUCAGCACUGACUGGGCCAAAAUGGGAUUUGUUGGAGUGAAAAAGCUUUAGAAAUGUGGCUCUUUUUUUUUUAAGAGUGUUAUAGUCUUUAGUAAUGACUCCUAACUUGUCUCAGGACUGCGCUUCGGCUAGGAUUUUGGCGUAAUGAUACAGUACCGCCCGUCUUGAAACACGGACCCAAAAAAA